GAUGAACGCUAGCGGCAGGCUUAACACAUGCAAGUCGAGGGGUAUUGGUUUUCGGACCAAGAGACCGGCGCACGGGUGCGUAACGCGUAUGCAAUCUACCUUUUGCAGAGGGAUAGCCCCAGAGAAAUUUGGAUUAAUACCUCAUAGUAUAGUACUUUGGCAUCAAGGAACUAUUAAAGUCACAACGGCAAAGAUGAGCAUGCGUCCCAUUAGCUAGUUGGUAAGGUAACGGCUUACCAAGGCUACGAUGGGUAGGGGUUCUGAGAGGGAGAUCCCCCACACUGGUACUGAGACACGGACCAGACUCCUACGGGAGGCAGCAGUGAGGAAUAUUGGACAAUGGGCGCAAGCCUGAUCCAGCCAUGCCGCGUGCAGGAUGACGGUCCUAUGGAUUGUAAACUGCUUUUANACAGGAAGAAACACUCCGACGUGUCGGAGCUUGACGGUACUGUAAGAAUAAGGAUCGGCUAACUCGUGCCAGCAGCCGACGG
rnacentral:rRNA from 1 species